GACGAACGCUGGCGGCGUGCCUAACACAUGCAAGUCGAACGAAGAGCGACGGAAGCUUGCUUCUAUCAAUCUUAGUGGCGAACGGGUGAGUAACGCGUAAUCAACCUGCCCUUCAGAGGGGGACAACAGUUGGAAACGACUGCUAAUACCGCAUACGAUCUAAUCUCGGCAUCGAGGAUGGAUGAAAGGUGGCCUCUACAUGUAAGCUAUCACUGAAGGAGGGGAUUGCGUCUGAUUAGCUAGUUGGAGGGGUAACGGCCCACCAAGGCGAUGAUCAGUAGCCGGUCUGAGAGGAUGAACGGCCACAUUGGGACUGAGACACGGCCCAGACUCCUACGGGAGGCAGCAGUGGGGAAUCUUCCGCAAUGGACGAAAGUCUGACGGAGCAACGCCGCGUGAGUGAUGACGGCCUUCGGGUUGUAAAGCUCUGUUAAUCGGGACGAAAGGCCUUCUUGCGAAUAGUGAGAAGGAUUGACGGUACCGGAAUAGAAAGCCACGGCUAACUACGUG
rnacentral:rRNA from 1 species